rnacentral:rRNA from 1 species
UCGGGAAUUUUGCACAAUGGCCGAAAGGCUGAUGCAGCAACGCCGCGUGAGCGAAGAAGGCCUUCGGGUUGUAAAGCUCUGUUGCCUGCGAAGAAGGGCCCUGUCAGGAAAUGGGCGGGGGUUGACGGUAGCAGGCGAGGAAGCCCCGGCAAACUACGUGCCAGCAGCCGCGGUAAUACGUAGGGGGCGAGCGUUGUCCGGAAUUACUGGGCGUAAAGGGCGUGUAGGCGGCCUGUUAAGUCAGGGGUGAAAGACCGGGGCUCAACCCCGGGGGUGCCUCUGAAACUGGCGGGCUUGAGUGCUCUAGAGGGCAGUGGAAUUCCCGGUGUAGCAGUGAAAUGCGUAGAGAUCGGGAGGAACACCAGUGGCGAAGGCGGCUGCCUGGGGAGUCACUGACGCUGAGGCGCGAAAGCUAGGGGAGCAAACAGG